UCUGCUUUGGCUUCAGCAGGUUUUUAAAACUCCCUCCCUCCCUCUCUUUCUAUUUUUCUCGGUUUGGCUUUACAAAUAAAAUAUAAAUUUAGCUAAGAGCUCGCACCACAAAAAGGGAAGAAGUGAUGAGUCUAAGCAGCAAACAGAACCCAAGGGUUAACACCCUGUCACCGCAUAUGACAACCUUGAGGAGCGAGGGCUAGGGUCUGGGUGUCUCUGCUCUGGGGCGGGGUCGGGGGGUCCUCCAGGCUGCCCUUCCUGCUUCCUGCAGAGGAGAGACCUCCCGGGCUCCUCCCCAAACGGCGCAGUCCUUUUCAACAGGUGACGACUCCAUCAGCACCUUGGGCCUGAUCCUCUGCGUGGGGCUCUCGCUGCUGCUUGUGUCCAUCCUGGGCUACAGCCUGGCCAAGUGGUACCAGCGUGGGUACUGCUGGGAGGGGCCUAACUUUGUCUUCAACUUGUACCAAAUCCGGAACCUGAAGGAUCUGGAGGUGGGGCCACCCUACACCAUCAGUGGCCACAUCAGCAGUCCAGGUGGCAGCUACAUGAAGUUCUCCGACAGGCUAGUCUGAUGGCAGGGGGAGUGUCAGCUUUCUGGAGCCCCAGUGAGGAGGAAGCUCCCGGCUCAGCACCUGCCCCUCGCGGGCUCCCCCGCUUUCACCUCCUGGGUUUUCAAGGCCUGGCCUGGACCCCUCCUGUGGACACUGAGGAGUCUUCUCUGGGGACAGCACCAGCCUGUGGCAUCAGAGCCCUCAGGAGAGGCAGGCCUCUGGGGACCAAGUCUGGUGGAGUCACAGUGGCUUUCUUACGGAAAAAAUGAGUCGGCCAUUCCCCAGGGAGGAGGGGCUGAUUCCCAGGAGGCCCCUGAGCCUGUGGGAGGAGUUCCAGGGACCCUGGAAAGCAGAGCCCUCCCAACUCUGCUCCAUGUGGGCAGGGCCUGGAGACUCCAAAGGGGGGCUCUACAUGGGGGUGUCCCCUCUCACUUCCCCUGCAGGGCUGACACCGGGGCCAGAAAACCUGUCAUAUCCUCAGCAGACAAAGUCGUGUGGGAGGGAGGUGUUUCCAGAUGCUUUUUAACCUUCCUACCAGAAGCUAGCCUCCCCUAAGAGCCGAGGGCUGAGCUUAGGCCUUUACUCUGCCCUGCCCCCCACUGCACUUGUGGCACUUUCAUCAGUCCGGCCCCUCCCCGCUCCGUGCCCUCACACACACUUGUCCCCCACCUGGGUCUGUUCUCCCUGCUGCUGACCAGCCUCUAUGCCUCCCAAGUAACUCAGGGCAAGGCUGAGAACGGUCUAGAGUCACCUUCUUGUUUCCAGGUUUUGCGAUGGGUGGGCAUUUGUGGAGACCUCCGUCUCCAGAGUUCUGCGUUUCCUGGGCAAGGCCUGCCUUGUGAUGUGGAAAGUGGACUAGAAGUGGUGAGAGUGGGGAAGAGGAACCUAGAUUAGGCUAAAAAAAAGAAAAAAAAAAAAAAAAACCCAAAAAAAACAACAGCCAGUUAAUGUCCAUGGGAAAUCAAGAACCAAGUAUAGCUUGGUGGACAGCAGAAGAGUUUGCCCAUGAGUCAUCACUUCUUCCUCUGGUCUGUGCCCUGCUGGACCCGAGGUGGGGCCCCAAACUGGAUGUCAGCUUGGUGGGUGCUUACUGCAGAGCUGUUCAGUGCAGAGAGACUGAGGUCUUAGUCUCCGAACUCUUCGUCUCCGACCGAUGGAGCAGGGCCUGAGAGGAGCCCUGCCCCUGCUGCAAACUGCACUAAGAACCACCAGCCACGGGUCUUCCUGCUGAGGUCCCAGUAACAAGGCCGACAAGCUGCAGAGGCCCGGGGCAGUGAUAGGCCAAGGGCAGAGAUGUCCUAUCCUUUGUCAUCUUAGCCUCUCUUUCUCGCUUUGGGUUCUAGCCGGUUGCCAAGGAAGGAGCGAAGGAAAGGCCUUAACCAGUUCCUAUCCCCUUACUUUCCCCCAGGGUCUGGGGGCCUUGCUCCCAACAGAACCAGACUCAAAUUUAAUAAACUGGGGCUUCACCUGGAAGGCCCCAGCCUUCCAUUCCUGAGUAGGUCGUCGGGUGGUGGUGGUGGAGGAAGAGCUCCCAGUGGCUCUAGAUCCCUCCCUUCCUUGAAGACCUGUUAGGAGAGGAGAGGGGAGGGGACAUGGGCUGACUUUGGUGUCCUUCCUUGGAUUUCAAAGUUCAGAGGGCUGAGCGCCAUUUCUUAACCCAGGGGGGUCCAGCCUCCAUAAACUCUACCUUGAGCCCUGCUCAGCAUGGAUCCUGGGUCCACACCCCAGGCCGGGCUGCCCUAGGCCCUGAAAGUGCUCAGAACUCAGCGCCCUUGGGGAAAGCUGAAAGGAUGGGGUCCUGGGUCGAGGUGGUCUUAGCCCCUGGUUUGGUGGCUUCAGGUGAGGAGACAGGGACAGCUGCCAAGGGGCUGGGAGAAUGGAGGGUAUUUCCUACCCUUGGGAGCGGAACUGAGACUGGGCCACUUCCUCUUUUAGGGUCCUCUGACGUGUCCCUGUCCCCCCCUCGUUCCUCUUCCUCCCCCUUGCUUUCCUGACUUCCGUUGUCUGACUGGCCAGCACAGCUUUCUUCAUUCGCCCUGGGCCCCAGGCCCUACCCUAGGACUCCAAGGCUGUUGUUGGGGGGCAGAUUCCAGCUCCGUCAGAAAUGGUGAGGGAACAUAGGCCUAGAAGUCUGGCUACAGGUCUAGUUGGUCUGGGACUGGCUGGGCUCCCAAACCAUGGUGAGCUGGGGGACCUCCUGGAACCUCCCCCUCCUCUUAACUGUUCUUCACUUCACUGGCCCCAGGAGCCAGGAGGCGGUCAUGAAAGCCAGCAGUUCCCUGAGCCGGCCGUUCCCAGCCCCACUGCCACCCUGGUGCUCUUUGGCAUCUCUGCCAGGGCUGUUCUGCCUGGGAUGGCUUCACCCCCCACCCCAACCCCUCCGAGCCACAUCUACUCUCCAGGGCUGGCUCAAGUCUCAUCUGCCCUGUGGCUUCCCUCAGGACUUAGACUUGCUGCCACCCAACCAGGAUGAGCCCUUGGGGACAGGGGGUUACAUCCCAUGGGUGGGUUGGUUUGUUGGUCAGUCUAUCUAUCUAUUUAUUAUCUAUUAUCUAUCUAUCUGUCUGUCUAUAUAUUAUCUAUCUAUCUAUCUAUCUAUCUAUCUAUCUAUCUAUCUAUUAUCUAUCUAUCUAUCUUUUUUAGGGCUGCACCCAAGGCAUACAGAAGUUCCCAGGCUAGGGGUUGAAUUGGAGCUGCAGCUGCUGGCCUGCACCACAGCCACAGCAACACAAGAUCCUAGCUGCAUCUGCGACCUACACCACAGCUCACGGCAGCGCUGGGUCCUUAACCCACUGACCGAGGCCAGGGAUCCAACCCGUGUCUUCAUGGAUACCAGUUGGGUUCAUUACCGCUGAGCCAUAGUGGGCAUACUGCAAAGGUUUUUAGUAACCAUUCAAAGUGAAGUCCAUAGGAGGUGCUUCAUAAUAUCCUGCUGAGUGGAGGAGAAACACCCAGUGUGGCCGUGGAGGCUGCCUUGUCCUAGAGGAAGAUGCCCAGGUGACAUGAGGAAGGGCAGGAACUGCUGAUGCCGUAUGCAGUCUACAGAGUACAAGGCAUUUCCAUGCCCAUUACUGCAUCCUUGAGCCUCAUAGCAGCCCUGUGACAUGAGAUGAUUAUUGGUCUCAUUUGACAUGUGGAGAGACAGAGGCUCGUAGAGGUGGCCACCCAGAGAGGUUGCACAGCCAGCCACUGACUGCACUUGAGCCUGAGUAGCGUCUGAGGCCUCACAGAUGCAGCCUGAACUCAGGACUUGAGGGGAGGAGGGUUGAAAACUGUAGAACAGGGCCUGGCCUUCACUGGUCCUGCCAUGCGGUACGUCUACGCUGUCACUUCAGCACCCUGGGCUUCUAUCUCAGCAUCUGGCAAUCAAGGCAUUGGACUGCUUCUCCGAGACUCCUCUCUUACUUGAAAGAGUCUUACCUUUUGGGGUUUUUUUAGUUUUUUGCUUUUUGUUUUUUUUUAAUCCCUUUACUCUUAGUAUUUAGCAUAAGACCCUGUGCUUAGGAGGCAUUUGGUAAACAAAAGAAGCAAGUACAAAGUGUAGUUAUAACUCUAACUCAGCAAGUGGCAGCUGAAAGUUCCUUUAGGCCCUAAUGGUUUAGGAUCCUAUUACUCAGUCUUUCUCUGAUGUUGGCAGAAUCUGACCAGCAUCCAAGACUGGACCAUUCCUGAUUGAACCUUUCUUGAGCAGGAAGACGGAUGCUAACAUUUGCUAAACACAGAUCAGUGCAAAUGCUGUCACUGGUGAGGAAACAGAGGCUCAGAGUCUGGCGAAAUGAUUUGCUUAAGGCCAGGCAAGAUCAUAUUUUCUUUAUAAGCCUCCAUCACUUUUAGCCUCUGCCCAAGCUAGCAGCUCCCGAGCUCCGGGGCCCCCAAGGAAGCAGGCCCCUCCCCCUGGUCUCUAAUCUCUUUUCCAGGUCCCCUGGUCCACCCGGGGCAGCGGGGAGGGGGUGGGUUGCGGGGUGGGGGAGAGACUGUCGGAAGCCUGGGCUCUCCAUGCCCUGCCCUCAGCUCAGAGUUUCCCACUAACCCAUUCUUCUUUCCUCCUUGUAUUUUUUUCUAUCCCCUUUAACUUCCAGGUUAUCAAAUUCUGCCCUUUCUUUAUGUCAGCUCAAUUUUCACUUCUCCAGAGAGACUUCUGGAGAUCUAUGGAUCUUCUUGUCUUCUGAUUUUUUUUUUAUUACAAAUACUCUGGCUCCCAUAAUUUAAUUCUUGAUCAUUCUCUUGUACUUAUUCAUUCACAUAGCUUCUAUAAUAGGCCAGGAACUGUUCUAGGCACCCAGAGGUAAUCCAGUGCCUCUUGAGAUUAACCUCACUCUCUCCUAUUUGAUGGGUACUUCUUUCAGGCAAAAUUCAGAUCUUAGACCUUUUCUGAGUUCUUUACGGUGGCUUGCAGGCUCUGGCCAUAGCCAGGAACUUCUCAGGAAAGUAUGUUGAAGGAUUCUUCAGGGAAUCUUGGGUGUUGCCUCCUCCAGAGUCCAGGUCUGUGCGUUCUGAAGAUCCAAAGAUUUUGAUUUUUCCUUCCCAUCCUCAGUCAUGUUCCACCCUUUGAUCAUCAGCCGAUACAGAUCUGCAGAAAGCGCACACACAGAGACUUUUCUCUAGGCCAACCUAAGGGAUGGCCAAACCCAGGAAGAGGCUUGGCUGGUGAGGAGGGGGCUCUGCACUCCUGCAGCUUCCCUUAAGGGGUAAUGACUUUGCUUCGUGCUGUGGCCAUGGAGGGGCCAGCAUCUACGGUGCCCCUCCCUCUCAGGGUUCUUAGAACCUCAUAGUGGGGGCAGAUGGGACUCUCAUUGCUAUAUUUUUUUAAACUGCUUAGUGAUCAAAAACAUCUAGAAGCGUGAUAUUUAAGAAGAUCUGGUACAAAACAGGAAGCUGGUGGCCUGGUGAAUUCUCACACUUGAGGACCAGAAGUGAGAAUGUUCUGUCUGCCCAGAGCAGCAGCAGGCCAACAAAACAACAGGUGGAGCAGCGCCAGAGACCUUGGUGGACUCCGCCUCUUGGAUUUUUCCUGCAGAGUCAUGGGGCUUGUCUCCCUCUCCCCAAAGCCUAGGAGGAGUUCUCUCAUACUUGAGCAGGGAGCCACGGGGCGGGAGAGGGGUAGAAAAUGGAAGAAGCCUCAUCUUCUCUUCUGGUCCCAGUAGCUGGUGGGCCCCAGGUGCCUUGCUUGUAUUGGGCUGCCAUUGGACUUGAGGACUCUGAGGUCCCUUCCUCCUGCAAGGCUAUUUCAGAGUGUGGGUGACUUCAGUUCCACAGUGCUGGGGGAGGGGAGGAGGUAGGCAGAGACGCCUCUGAGCAUGGUGUGUGUGUUGCAGAGGUGAGCCAAGGAAGAGAGGGAUCGUGUCUUGUUGCUGGCUGUAUUCCCAGAGGGCCUGCCCAUGACAGGUGCUCAAUGAAUGCUUGCAGAAGGGGUGAAUGGCUGCAUAUUCAAAGUUUCCAUGGCCCUUUGCCUUGCUUCCUGACCACAUCCCCUCGAUCUAGGCUUCCUGUUUAGUCUGCAGCCCCUAGUCCCUCCAACACCUAAGAGCCAUAGGGUGAAAACAGCAGAGAAGGGAAUAAUCACGGUAUAAUGUGCCUAAACCAAGAAGAUGACAAGCCUGAGAAUACAAUAAAAUUCACAUGCAGCCUGCUUUCUUUUUGGCUCAGUCUAAUGUCUCCCAAAUAUCUGUUCAGCCUCAGGCUACUGUUAUCACCAGGGCCAUGUCAUGUUUGAAUAGUAUACUUCCUCAACCUCGAUCAUAUGCUUUUCCCUGUGAGGAAAUUCAUUUCGUUCAUGUCUCCGUUUAUCCAUCAAAAAUGUACUGAGGGGAGUUCCCGUCGUGGCGCAGUGGUUAACGAAUCCGAUGAGGAACCAUGAGGUUGCGGGUUCGAUCCCUGCACUUGCUCAGUGGGUUAACGAUCCGGUGUUGCCGUGAGCUGUGGUGUAGGUUGCAGACACGGCUCAGAUCCAGCGUUGCUGUGGCCCUGAUGUAGGCCAGUGGCUUCAGCUCCGAUUAGACCCCUAGCCUGGGAACUUCCAUAUGCCGCGGGAGCAGCCCAAGAAAUGGCAAAAAGACAAAAAAAAAAAAAAAAAAAAAUGUACUGAGCACCUACGCCGUACCUUUGCCAUUGGUUGGGUGUGAACACUACAGAGAGAAAUCGGGAGGAGUUUCUGCUCUCUGAGAGCUCAUAGCAAAUGAGUACUGAAUAUAAUCCAUUCAGUGACAGCGCAUUCAUGAGAAGAGUCUGACUGAAGAUUACUCUCUCCAUUUGGCAGAUGGGAAAACUGAGUCCCAGGGUUGACAUGAUAUGAUUGAGCUGGGUGAGGGUAGACGGCAGGUCUCCUGAGUUCUGUUCUCCUCUUGAGCAUUCUUUCCACUGCCUAGGUCUGUUGGCUCUUCCCGUUUGCCCUUGGGGGCAUCUCCAGACCAACCACCUUGCCUUGGAAGCCUGUCCAUGGACCGGUCCAUUCAGCCUGAGUGGGCUGAUAGACACUGCCUCCCCCGAGUGUCUCGCUUCCUUCACUCUGUUGCAUCAUGCCACACAGUGCUUGUUCUGCGACAUGUAUGGUUUCUUUGCCCCGGGUUUGAAUUGUGGGCCCAGAUCUUACAAUAUCUCAAGUUUGGGGAGAGUCUCUCAAUCUCAGUGUGCAUAAUUUAAUAAAUCUUACUCCUUUCAAUUCAGUCCAGCAAAUGUGCAUUGAACACUCUAGCUGGACCAAAUGUCCCCGCUACGACCCCUGUGCGAUCUCCCUCACAGCACGUUCAGCUGAUGCCUCUUUGACCCCUUAUGUCCUCUUGGAUCCACCUCGGAUUCCAGCCAGUUCUGACUGGGCUCCAACCUAUGUUGUGCCGGACAGCUCUCUUCUCCAGUGCCCACCACACGUCACUUGCUUUCCUGGCUCCUUCUGUCCUGGGAGUGGGGGUGGGGGGUCCCACACAGUGCGAGGGUUCAGAGGGGUCAACAUCUCUGGAGGAGCUUCAACCAGUGGAGUUAAAGAGCUGACGGAUCAGGACUUCUCCUGUCAAUGCUCAGGGGACAGUUGGAAGAGGCCUCUAUAUACUCUGAGGAACAUCCCAGUGGGACCAGCACGACCAGCGUGGCCACGUGUUUUCAUUUUGGCUUUUCCUUCUCCUCGUAUCUCAGUCUUGUUCCCUGUGAUCACCUUCCAAAUAAACCACCUGCCCACAAGUCCUUGAAUCAGGCUUUGCUUCUGGAUGGGACAAUCAAGGCUAUGGCAGCACUUAUCACCUUACAUUGUUAAGUGUAGAUUGAUUUAUUUACUUGCUCAUUCAUUUCUUCAGCAAAUACAGAGUGUCUGUCUACUCUGUGCUCUAGGUUGUGGGGAUGUAGGGGUGAACAAGAGAGGUAAAGUCUCCGCCUUCCCAGAUCUUUUACUGGGAGAGACAGACUAUGAGCGAAUAAAUAUAUAAAUAGAUCAUACUCUUUCAGAUAACAAUAAGUGCUCUGAAAGAAAAAAGCUGGGGAUGGAGGGACGGACUAGAGAUGGGAGGAUGCUUACAGGGUGCUCAGCGAAGACUUCUCCCAGGAGGCUCCAGUUGAGGAGACACUUGAAUAAAAUGAGGGGGGAAUGCAGAAGACCUAGAAGGGAAUGAAGACCACUACCCUGAGAUGGAAAUUAGCUUGAAGCCGAGGAGAGGGGGAGAGUGGGCAGAUACCAGCUCAUGUGGAUUUCAUCUAUCAUUUGGACCAAGAGCAAAGGGGAGGGCUUCCAGCAGGGCAAUAACAUCACCUGAGUCGUAAUUUCAUAAAUAUCAUGUGGGCUACUGUACUACUAGACUAGGUACUCUGUGUGAAUCACGCUGGAUUAGGUUAAGGGAGCAGGAGUAGAAACAGGAACAGUAAGGGGAUAAACGGUGGUCCAAGUGAGGCUUUGAUUGGGACGAUCAUGUGGGAGUGGUGCCAAGUGUUGGAUUCACUAUCUCUUUGGAAGGUAGAGUUGAUAGGACCUACCUGUGGGUUGUGAAGGGCUGACUAUUGGUUUUUACUGUGCACAACUGGGUAAAGGGUGAUGCCAUUUACUCAGGAGGGGAAGAUUGGGGAAGGAAUGAGUGUGGGAGGGAGUCGAGUUCUGUUGCUGACAUUAUAAUUUUGAGAUGCAUGCUAGACAUCCAAAUGGAGCUAUAGGGGGAAGUCCUGCUGCGGCAUUUGGAAGUCAUCAGCAUCCAGAAGGCAUUUCAAGGUAUGGACUGGGUGACACCAUCUAGUGGCAGUGGGGAGAGAAGGGUGGAGUUUGAUAGAACAAGCAGCAAAUCAAGUUAUUCUCCAAAGGAGUGACUCAAACUUUAAUGUAUAUGGGAACCACCUGCAACUUGAUCACUUUUAGCUUGUUUAGUAAGCAGGCCCUGGGAACUAGUCUUAGAAAUUCUGAGCUUCAGGGAGAAGCUUAGGAAGACAAGUACCCCCAGGUGGUUUGAAUGCAGGUAAUAUGUUGAGAAACUGCCCUGGGGGAUGAGUAGAGGGGAAGGUCGGAAGGGGAGGGUAGAGAAUACUGCCAGGGUUGGCGUGGCUAGGUAGCAGGAUCCUGAAGAAUGUUUCUGUUCUCUUCAGGGCCAUGAUGAGGCCUCAAUCUCCACCAGCCCCUCCUUCCCUGUGCAGGUAGAGGUAUAUAGGUGUGGUGUCAUGUACCAGUCUUCACCAGCACUCUCCGUGCCUACUCCAGUGCUAACCAGCUUUACGGAUCAACUGCACGCUGGUGAUGGGCUGCAAUUGUCCUAGGAACAACAUGGCACCAGGGAGGCUCCUGGUUGAAGUCUGUGAGUCAUGUACCAAGCACAGGCAUGACUGAGAGCAAAGGAACGGCAGCCUGCUUUUCUUCGAGAUAGGUCAUCAGGUGAGCGUUCUAACUGUAUGUUGGCUGCUGGGAGCUGGGGGGUCUUCUCUACCCCUGUGUCCUCAACUCCACACCUUGGGCUAUGGGUCACAGCACAAAGCCUCUUACAUCUUCAUCCUUAGCUCUAAGCUGUCACUCUGUGCCAGGCCUGCCUUGCCAACUGCUGGAGAACUUUUCCUUGGCUGACUUGUCAUAUUGAUGCCAGAACUCACCAGCUCUCUUCCCCCAUGCCCAUGUCUCCCCUCCAAGGCUAUAUUUCACUUUUCCCAUCAUCCACUUUCAAGUUUGAUUAGCACCUCUGAUUCCUGUUCUCUUACUCCAGCUUGCAAUCAAGUCUUGCCAUUUCUCCUUUCAAAAUAUUUUGAAUCGGUAGCUUCUUCUCCCUUCCCACUGUCCCUGCUCAAUAUUGUCAUUUUGAUUGGAUUAUCAUUUAUGCCUGUGUUAUGACCUGAAUAUUUGUGUCUGUCCCCCCACCCCUGACCCCAUAUGUUACCCCUAAUGUGCUGGUAUUAGGAGGUGGGACCUUUGGGAUGUGAUUAGGGUUAGAUGAGGUUGUGAGAGUGGAGCCCUUAUAAGUGGAAAAAGUGUCCUUAUAAGAAGAGGAAGAGAAACCGGAGCUCGUUUACCAACCCUCCCCCGGUCCCAUCCCACCAUGUAAGGAGCCCGAGAAGGGGCCGACGUGAGGUCUUUCGCCUCAUCAGCAAGUCAGGAAGAGAGCCUUCACCAAGAACCGAAUCUGCCAGCACUGCCUUGGACGUCCCAGCCUCCAGAACAGUGAGAAAUCAUUGGGUGUUUUUGAAACCAACCAGCCUACGACAUUUUGUUACAGCAGCCUGAGCUGACUAAUACUACCUCCUGUUCGAUUUCUCAGCCUCUUGCCUCCAUCCCUUGUGUGGAAUGUCUGUUUCUUUCAUGGCACUUACCACUGAUUAUAAAAGUAGAUUUGUUAGUCUGUUAAUUAACUCAGUGAUGAUCUUCAGGAUCAGACGGCACCCUCCUCGAAGCUGUGCACCUUUUGUUCACCAUUCUGGGCCCAGGACUGAGUGCCAUGUUGGGCACAUAGUACAUGCUCAAUAAUAUGUUUCUUGGAGAAAUGAAAUGCUGACAAUGAAUGUUUCUAACCACUUCUCCCUGCAUUCUGCCUGGUCCCUUCUGACUCAUGCCUUGUGCAUUGACCAGAGUUAACAAACGAAAACAAACUUCACCUCGCCCAACCCUUCUUUGUCAGUGUUUACCGUUUUCCAAUGUUUAUGGGAGCUGAGGUGAAGAUCAAGCUGAUAGUGAGGAAAGGUGUGGUGGGUCACUAAUAAAAAUGAUAAUGUGAUUAAUAAAAACUUUGUGGAGUUGCCUUAAAAGAAAACCCCAAAGCCACAAGCACUACAGGAAAUGGAUGAGUCACGCCUUCCAGUACCUAGUGUCCUCUAGAUUGGGGUUUGAUGAAAUCAACCCUAACUGCUUGAACUACCUCACAGGGUUACCAGUGUGCCCAGGUGGGCAGGGCAACAGCCAUGUGCAUCUCUGCCAUGUGCAUUUGGGGCUCAGAGACCCUCCCUCUGCACUGUCCUGUGGGCUCCAUUCAGUGCAAUGGGUGGGACUGUUUCAGGGGGUCGUGUGUGUUCUGUGACCAUGUGCCUUUGGGAGUGGGGUGGGGUGGGUGGGAUAGAGAUCUCUGGGGGAAGACCAGGCAGACUCUUUGACUAUAGCUAUUUACAAACUUGGGAAAACACAGUUCAAUAGAAUUUCCUCUUCAGUCGAUGUUGGCCCAUUUCCCCUCCCUCCUUACUAAGAGGAAGUUCCGUUAGCUCACAGAAAGGCAGAAUCACACAUUCCUCAGCCUGGAAAAGCCCUUGAAGGAGGUUCCUCAGUCUAAGACGAGCGGGGCCUUCUCUGGGGGACUUUAAGCGGAAUUCCCAAGAAGCCUGGCAGUGUCCUGCCACUGUUUGGAGGAACCCUUUGUCUCCCCCAAGGCCCUGGCUGUGCUGGGCAGUUGGAAAGCAGCCUGAAAGUAGAGGAGACCCAGACCAAACGCACACUCAUCCCACAGAAGGGAGGCCCGCGGCCAGAGCUAGGUCCCUGGACUCCAAUUUCUCCUUUCGGCUACUCCCUGCUUGCUCUCUUCCACCCAAACUGGCCCCGGUUCCUGGAGGAGGAGUCCUCUUACUGUCUGAAUCUUCAGGUCCACGUCUCAGCCAGCCUUCCUCCAACCCGCCUCCAGGCUUUUGCCUUGUGGCGGGAGCCGCUCCAACACUCAUUUCCAGGAGAAAGCGACCAACGUCACCCCCCUUACCAAUCUGACAAGGGGGCCUUCGGGGCAAAAGUCUGAGCAGGUCCCAAAAAAAAAAAAAAUGGCAUGAGAUUAGUCAAGUUCUCUGAA